ACUCAGGAGGCUGAGGCAGGAGAAUUGCCUGAACCCAGGAGUUCGAGGCUGUGGUGACCUGUGACAACACCACUGUACUCCAGCCUGGGCAACACAGCAAGAUCCUGUCUCCAAAAAUAAUA